AGCAGGUGCAGCACAUCUUGCAGGUUUGAGUCCUGCAUCUGCCAAUCACUGUGUGACCUUCUGGAAGUUGCAUACCCUCUCUGAACCUCAGUCUAAUGCAGCAUGGACUUCAAGGAUCUAAGAAAAGGAGAAGAAAGAGAAGAAAGAAGUCACUCUCAGUCUCUUGCUGAGUUGGCAUGUACUGAGUACCUACUGCAGAGGAGGUUGGGCCCUGAGCAUGGGACAAAGCAGCCCCUAAAGGAGGAGCCCCCCACCUCAUAGGCCACUGAAAGGCAGAAGCGGAGACCUCUGUUUGAAGACUCUGCUAAUCCCAGGAGAUAUAGUGAUGGUUGGGAGUUUUCACUCUUGAGUGAGAUUAAAGGAAGGAGAUGCUGUAAGGCCAAGAAGAAGAGCAAAAAGCUCUUGGUCCUGUGGAUCUAUUCAGCUUCUCUGCUUAUUUUCUCCAUUACCCAGAGCCUAAAAAUUGAAACAACAUACAAGAAUCCACUGCAUCAUUUCCCCAUAUUUCUCCAGAAAUUCAAUGUGGAUAAAGCUUCUUGGAUGACAUUUCAUAUGGUUAUUCGGGGAGCCAAGGACUCUCUGUCUUGUGGCUCAGUCCUCCUGCAGGUCCUGGGAGUCCUCUCCACUCGCCUGACAGAGAGAGUGGCUGUGGGGAAGGCACACCCACAUCUUCACUAUUCUACCCAGAAGCAGAAAUGACUGAUUCACACCACUUCCUCGCACAUCCAUCAACAAGAAUUAGCCAUAUGACUCCCCCCGCCCCAGAUGCAAAGGAGAAGGAACAAAAAAUAUGGUCCCUGGCUGGUCAUCACUUCCUUGCAACAACAACCCCACCCCCACGCUGUGAAGGAAUCUUUGGUGGUCAGCUAUCUACUUUGGUGGUGCACCUUCUUACUACAGUUACGAACAGAAGGAUUUAUAACUAACUUUUCAGAACCUAACCUGUUUGCUUGUAAAGAAAUAGAGAAACUUCUGCAGUAGAUACUCAAAACUAGGA